UACGUAGGGUGCGAGCGUUAAUCGGAAUUACUGGGCGUAAAGCGUGCGCAGGCGGGCUUUUAAGCCAGACGUGAAAUCCCCGGGCUUAACCUGGGAAUGGCGUUUGGGACUGGAAGUCUGGAGUGCGGCAGAGGAGACUGGAAUUCCUGGUGUAGCAGUGAAAUGCGUAGAUAUCAGGAGGAACACCGGUGGCGAAGGCGGGUCUCUGGGCCAAAACUGACGCUGAGGAGCGAAAGCGUGGGGAGCGAACAGG
rnacentral:rRNA from 1 species